UCUUAACCCAGCAGUGCUGGGUUGGGAACGCGGACGUGAAGGAGAGCAUGCACGUCACGUUAACAGCACUGGACUCCGGUGUGAGAAGCCGCCAUUUUCUCCGCGUCUUCGGAUGGAUUCGAGUGAAAGACGGUUUAUGGUAAGUAAAGAUAAAUAAUUAAAGAUAUUUUCACUUAUUUCUGUCCAAAAGUAUUUCGAGAUGUAUUUGAAGGCGAAAAAAGUCAGAAAAGAACUUAGAUGGAAAUUUUCACAGUUUUUGCCUCAUUCGCCUCAUGUCUCAAUGGCCUCAUUUAUUCAAUCAAAGAGAUGUUUUUAAAUAUAGUGGUCUUCUUGUGUCAUAUUUACAAGUUUCUUGAAGUUUGUUAAUGGAAGGUUAUCAACAGAUUCACGUUUUAAUUCUUUUAAAACGAUUUUAACUUUAACUUUAUUCAACUUUAAUCUUCGCGGUUAACCCGAAUGUAAUGACCUAACGUUAGUUUUCCUUAAGGAAAUGAAACUACGAUAUGUGAUAAAGGUUGGUUUAUUUUGAUGAUAUUGAAGCGAUAAUUGUUCAAAUGAAUGUUUUGUAUGUAAUAUUUCUGACUUGUUGCGCUUUGUGUGUUCAUUUGGACCGCACCGGGAGUAACCGACAGGCGACUGUUGCGUGAUCUUCUCGGCUAACGUACAGAAGGAGAGAGGGAAAGACAAUUUAUGAUCAAGCCAGAGACCUAGGAGUGCUCCAUUCUUUUGAGUCUAUAACUCAAACCAACUGUGGAGAGGAGCCCUUCUCCUUGGUCUUCCUUUCUUAACCAGGAAUAGUGCACACAAAAAUAAAAAUUGUCACCAUUUACCCAACCUCAUGUUUUUCCAAACCCAUAAGACUUUUGUCCAUCUAUGGAACACAAAUGAAGAUAUUUUUAAUAUUCUCAUCUUUUUUAUUUAUUUAUUUUUAUCCAUUUAGUCUAGAUAAUCAGUAUUUUUAAGCUUCAGAAAUGCAAAGUUAUUGUAGUAGUCCAUACCAAUAUUUAUAUGUGAAUACAAUUCUAAAUUAUAUCUGUUCAUAUCAUGUAAAGCAAUCAUGUCUGUUCAGAAAAUUCAAAAAUGUUGGACUCCCAGACUUGCAAUGGAUGGACAAACAAUUGAGAGAAUAUUAAAAAUAUCUUCAUUUGUGCUUCAAAGAUUAGCAAAAGUCUUAUGGUUUUGGAACGACAUGAGGAAGGGUAAAUUAUGACAGUUUUCUUUUUUGGGUGAACUAAUACUUUAAAGAGGAGCCCUCCAAGUUCAUCAAAAUGUGUGAGGUGGUGACAAGGAUGAAUACUGGUCAAAAAAGAGAAUAACCUUCUCCAACGAAGAUCACUGAUGUGACCAUGCUUUUAAAGGAGAAGAUUGUCCUGGACAAUUUAAAGGAUGUUGCAUGCCUUUGCUGUGCUGAUGGAGCUGCUUCAUGACUGGACAUCAGUUAUCCUAAGGAGGUCAUGAAAAUUGGCCGUGAUGCGUGUUCUGUAUGUAUUCAUGGACUCAACGAACUUUUAGCAUAUAAUCUGAUAAAUGUUCACUGCUUGUUCAUUGUUGUUUAGUGGAGAAAUUCACACUCUCAUUCAAACUCACAUUCUUUCACAUAAUUUUCACAAAUAAUUUGUGUAGUGUUUUCGUUGCCAGUGGAUAUUAUGCAAAAAAAAAAAGUCUUAUUUGGUCUUAAAUGCCAGUUAUAUUCAUCAAUGUUCACUGAAAUGUGAAAAACUAUUUAAUUUAUUUAUACAAACUGUGGCUGUUGAUUUUGCAAUUCUUUUCUGAUUUUCAUCUCACAUGCAUGUUGUUACUUUUGACCAUGUUUGCCCUUGUCCUUGUUUUUAAUAAAUUUGUACCUUUUGAUAGUCA